GCCGGGCAUGAUGGCGGGUGCCUGUAGUCCCAGCUACUCGGGAGGCUGAGGCGGGAGAAUCGCUUGAACCCAGGAGGCGGAGGUUGCAGUGGAUCGAGAUCGAGCCACUGCACUCCCACCUGGGUGACAAAGCGAGACUCCGUCUCCA
rnacentral:sRNA from 1 species